GUGAGGGUGUGAGGAUGAGUGAGUCUCAUUUCAGUGAUGACUGUGAGAGCUGUUAGCCGUCAGUAUUGAAAGCUAAUUCAGUGUUUGUGGACCUAUCGGAGAGGAUAUAGAUAUAUAUAUAUAUACAGAUACUAUCAUGUUUUAAUAUAUAUACACGCUCACAAACACACAUACGCAUAUAUAUUUACAUAAACAUACAUAUAUCUAUUUCUAUAUAUAUAUUUACACAGAAGCAUUACUAACUUAGACGCACGCACCUGCUUAACUAUCUAUCUAUCUAUCUAUCUAUCUAUUUAUAAGGGCAAACACAUACACAUAUAUAUAUAGACAAACGCACAUAUUCAUACACACACGUGCACAUACACACACACAUAUAUACUUAUAUACACACGCGUACACACACAUCACACAUUCAACUAACAUCUUGUGUGGACGUGUGGAGUUAAAACAUUUCGUGCACGGAUAAUAAUUGUAACCUACAACGACACUCGCGAGUAUAUAUACUCUGUAAACUGUAAUUACUAUUAUAUAGAUAUAUACACACACGCUCUUCGUUGUUGUUUGUAUAUAUAAUUAAACAUAUAUACAGAGGAAAUAAGCUAUAUGGAAACCAAAAUAUACACUCGUGCAUGGAAAAUCUACAUAUUAUAUUACUGAACGACGAGUGUGAUGCAUGAAGGAUUGCGUUUGGAUGAUUGGAAAUUCUAGCUGAGAUUUGAACCCGGUUCUAUAGCACAUCGACCUCACAUUCCUCCUUAUAUACUCCAAGAUGGUUUUAUUACCAAAUAGUCUGACGGCGGAUUGACGACAGACAUACUGGGUGUUCAGUCAGAAUGAGAGAAAUGAAUAAAAUACCUGUGUCCAAGGAAUCGGAAUUCAAAUUAACCAGAAUCAUUGAACGAACGUAUUAAAUUUCACGGUUCAAGACACGAAGAAUAGCAACAACAAAACAACAAAACGAAAAUAAGAAAAAAAUAUCGACAACGAAAGAAAAACGAAACUGAAUUCAGAAAGGACGUAAACGAAAGUACACAGAUCAAGAUUUCAAAUCACACAUGAAAAAGAAAAAAUACCUAUAUUUAUCCCGUGGAGAUUAAGGAAUUUACGUGAUUAAGAUGAGCAGCAAACCUGGAUAAUUUCAUUUAUAGAUCUGUUCUCUAUUUGAUAGAGAUCAGAGAGUGAGAGAGAGAAAGAGAGAGAGAGAGAGAGAGAAGUGUGAUUGGGAUUAGGGGUAAAGUGAGUGUGAUUAUAUCUAUAUAUAUGUAUAUAUAUGUACACAUACAUACAUGCAAAGGGAAAGAAGGAGAUAAGACGAAUUAGUGAGAAAAACAACAUAAAACGAGACAGAAGAAUUGAGAGUUUCUGUUUGUGAGAGGAAGGAAUUUCAGAGAGAAGAGUAAGGGGAAAAGAAUUAAGAAAUAAAGAGAAAAAUCGUAAGAUUGAGAAAGAGUGAAGAGAAAAGAAAAUAAGGAGAGCAAGGUUCAUUAUUAAGCAAGGGAGUGAGAGGCCAAGGCAUCUCAUUUCCCAGGCUCUUCUCCUUUCUUAAAAUAUGAAUUCCUUGAAAAGACCUGUCAGUGAUUAUGACAAAGAGACUAGUUAUGAUCUGUUGGAUAAACAGGUGUACACGUCAUUGACGGCAAACGGAUGUUGUCACCAUGACGACACUCCAUUAAAGACUACAACCAGUAAGAAGUGGACACCGUCUUUGUGCGGUUGUUUCCGUAGUAAACCCUUGGCGUCGUCAGACCCCAGAUGUAAUCACAAUGCGUGGGGUUGUCUUGUGGUUCUAGGAAGUUUCAUAACGCAUUUAAUUAUUGGUGGUUUAGAACGUUCCAAUGGAAUAAUUUACUUAAAAUUGGUCGAAGAAUUUGGUCGCAGUGCCGUAGAUACAGCAUGGGUCGUUUCCCUAAGUUCAACGGCGAAGUUAUUACUC